rnacentral:rRNA from 1 species
UACGUAGGCAGCAAGCGUUGUUCGGAGUUACUGGGCGUAAAGAGUAUGUAGGCGGUUCGUUAAGUUCGUUGUGAAAGCCCCGGGCUCAACCUGGGAACUGCAAUGGAAACUGGCGGGCUUGAGUGUGGCAGAGGGGGGGUGGAAUUCCGCGUGUAGCAGUGAAAUGCGUAGAGAUGCGGAGGAACACCGAUGGCGAAGGCAGCCCCCUGGGCCAACACUGACGCUCAGGCACGAAAGCGUGGGGGAGCAAACAGG